UACGAAGGGAGCUAGCGGUGUUCGGAAUUACUGGGCGUAAAGCGCACGUAGGCGGGCUGAUAAGUCAGGGGUGAAAUCCCGAGGCUCAACCUCGGAACUGCCUUUGAUACUGUUAGUCUUGAGAUCGGGAGAGGUGAGUGGAAUUCCUAGUGUAGAGGUGAAAUUCGUAGAUAUUAGGAAGAACACCAGUGGCGAAGGCGGCUCGCUGGCCCGAUACUGACGCUGAGGUGCGAAAGCGUGGGGAGCAAACAGG
rnacentral:rRNA from 1 species